rnacentral:rRNA from 1 species
AUUGAACGCUGGCGGCAUGCCUUACACAUGCAAGUCGAACGGCAGCACGGGUGCUUGCACCUGGUGGCGAGUGGCGAACGGGUGAGUAAUACAUCGGAACAUGUCCUGUAGUGGGGGAUAGCCCGGCGAAAGCCGGAUUAAUACCGCAUACGAUCUACGGAUGAAAGCGGGGGACCUUCGGGCCUCGCGCUAUAGGGUUGGCCGAUGGCUGAUUAGCUAGUUGGUGGGGUAAAGGCCUACCAAGGCGACGAUCAGCAGCUGGUCUGAGAGGACGACCAGCCACACUGGAACUGAGACACGGCCCAGACUCCUACGGGAGGCAGCAGUGGGGAAUUUUGGACAAUGGGCGAAAGCCUGAUCCAGCAAUGCCGCGUGUGUGAAGAAGGCCUUCGGGUUGUAAAGCACUUUUGUCCGGAAAGAAAUCCUUGGCCCUAAUACGGUCGGGGGAUGACGGUACCGGAAGAAUAAGCACCGGCUAACUACGUG